AUUAGGUCAUAUGAAUAAAACCGAGUACUUGCUCAUGCUCAACACGAUUUAAGCAAAGUAAAGUCUCUGAGCAUUUACUCAAAACCAUAUGAAUAAAACGAUACUUUACUCAGAAAGAAAGCCAGCGGUGCACAAAGUGGUGUUUUUCUAUGGAAGUGCCUUUGCGGAUCUCAUCCGCUUUUUGCCGUACCAAUUGAAAAAGCCGUGUCGUCUUUUGCCGGCUGAUGACGGAGCCACAAACCCCGGGGGAACUCAACCGCCAGUUUCACUCCCUCCUGGGAUACGUGAAGGGAGAACACCGAUUCGAUGCGGCGCAAACGGAAUUCAGCGCUACCGAUGACCGUGAUCGGUCUUUUCGUAAAGCAAUCGGUGAGUGGUUAGCUACCGUGGCCUCAAGUGGAAUCGGUACCGAAGUGCUAAUCAAAGCACCAGCAGAAUGAAUAACAGCAGCAAGAUCUUCAGAAUCAGCUAAACGAGGGAAAUUCCGGUCGACACCAACGAAAACCGUUUCCAUCAUGAGACCCACCGCACAAUGAACGGAAGGGCACCAGUGUGAGCAUGCCACGGUCAACCCGGAAAACUAACGUGUUGCUGUCAGUGUUGUUCCUGCGAUGGCUGUUAAAAUCUUCAUCGGGCUACAUUGGCGUAAGAAGAUCGAGAUCCCUACGGAUGGUGUCCGGUGCUGGAGGAUCUUUCUCGAGAGGAUUUAGAACAUAAGAAAAAAAUAUAAACUAAAAUGUAAAACCAAUCGUGAAAAUUUCUAAAAAGGGUGUGUUUCUCAAAA